ACAGGAUACCCACUUUGGGACUGAAAGCCAUAGAAGAGCAUAGAUCCCCUGUUCUUACACCCAGAGUUCCUGUCCAUCCUGUACCCAGUUCCAGGGUGGUGGACUGGCACACUGGAAAUGAUCGGCCACGGGAGGAAGGAGAUGCUGGUUUGUUUUAAAGCAGUUCCUUUGCCUCUGGAAGAUCACAGGUUUCAGAGGGAUUUCCGUCUUUUUCUGCCGCAGCUUAACAAAGACUGAGAUUUCAUAUGAACCUCUGAAUGUACAGGACCCAACAUGCACUGUGUAUAAAGGUUGGGACUGAAAUUUGAAAAGAACGUGACUCCAGACAAAAGACUCACUGAGCCUUGGUUAGCAUUGAUUUGCAAGGAUGCCUGUUGAGACACUGAAUAAGCCUUAGCUCUAAAAACAACAGUCCAGCAGAUUUGUUCUUAAUUGAUCUACUGACUUCGAAUUAUGGCUAGUUCGCACUACUAUCACUACAGUCCAUUUUUAAAGCCUGGAGAACAGCAAUAUAAAUCCUCAGCUAGUGAUCAGGUAUGUCUAGGGAAUCUAAUUCUUUUCUUGGACUAACUUAAGUUUAUGGGAAGUCAUUCAGUCAAAAUAAACAUCUAAAGGCUUAACUUUUUUGAACUGUAUGUCCCCUGGAUUAGGACUUCAAACUUGAUUCUUAAGCCUAUAAAUAUUUUUA